rnacentral:rRNA from 1 species
CCAUCCUCCAAGGCUAAAUACUCCUGACUGACCGAUAGUGAACCAGUACCGUGAGGGAAAGGCGAAAAGAACCCCGGCGAGGGGAGUGAAAAAGAACCUGAAACCGUGUACGUACAAGCAGUGGGAGCACCUUCGGGUGUGACUGCGUACCUUUUGUAUAAUGGGUCAGCGACUUAUAUUCUGUAGCAAGGUUAACCGUAUAGGGGAGCCGCAGGGAAACCGAGUCUUAACUGGGCGUUAAGUUGCAGGGUAUAGACCCGAAACCCGGUGAUCUAGCCAUGGGCAGGUUGAAGGUUGGGUAACACUAACUGGAGGACCGAACCGACUAAUGUUGAAAAAUUAGCGGAUGACUUGUGGCUGGGGGUGAAAGGCCAAUCAAACCGGGAGAUAGCUGGUUCUCCCCGAAAGCUAUUUAGGUAGCGCCUCGUGAACUCAUCUUCGGGGGUAGAGCACUGUUUCGGCUAGGGGGUCAUCCCGACUUACCAACCCGAUGCAAACUACGAAUACCGAAGAAUGUUAUCACGGGAGACACACGGCGGGUGCUAACGUCCGUCGUGAAGAGGGAAACAACCCAGACCGCCAGCUAAGGUCCCAAAGUCAUGGUUAAGUGGGAAACGAUGUGGGAAGGCACAGACAGCCAGGAUGUUGGCUUAGAAGCAGCCAUCAUUUAAAGAAAGCGUAAUAGCUCACUGGUCGAGUCGGCCUGCGCGGAAGAUGUAACGGGGCUAAACCAUGCACCGAAGCUGCGGCAGCGACACUAUGUGUUGUUGGGUAGGGGAGCG